rnacentral:rRNA from 1 species
UACAGAGGGUGCGAGCGUUGUCCGGAAUCACUGGGCGUAAAGCGCACGUAGGCGGAUUCUUAAGUCGGUGGUGAAAUCCUGGAGCUCAACUCCAGAACUGCCUUCGAUACUGAGAGUCUUGAGUCCGGGAGAGGUGAGUGGAACUGCGAGUGUAGAGGUGAAAUUCGUAGAUAUUCGCAAGAACACCAGUGGCGAAGGCGGCUCACUGGCCCGGUACUGACGCUGAGGUGCGAAAGCGUGGGGAGCAAACAGG